GCCGGGUGCAGUAGCUCACACCUGUAAUCCCAGCACUUUGGGAGGCCGAAACAGGCGGAUCACGAGGUCAGGAGAUCGAGACCAUCCUGGCUAACACGGUGAAACCCCGUCUCUACUAAAAAAAAAUACAAAAAACUAGCCNNNNNNNNNNGCCCGGCUAGUUUUUUGUAUUUUUUUUUAGUAGAGACGGGGUUUCACCGUGUUAGCCAGGAUGGUCUCGAUCUCCUGACCUCGUGAUCCGCCUGUUUCGG
rnacentral:SRP_RNA from 1 species